ACCUGGGUGGCUCAGUUGGUUAAGCAUCUGACUUCAGCUCAGGUCACGAUCUCACAGUUUGUGGGUUUGAGCCCCGCAUCAGGCU
rnacentral:tRNA from 1 species